AAUAUCAACCAACCAAAACUCCCUGAGCUCCCAGGGACUAAACCCUGCUCUGAUUUUAAAUCCUACCUAAAUCACUGAGUCAUCACUGUCCAGUCCUUUGGGGCACAAACUAAAUGUAGGUUCAUUCUGCUGAAAGAGAUGAAACAAAAGCUGAUUGGUGUUCAGUGGCAAAGGUUUGUGGGGAUGGAGGAAUGGUUGGAUAAAAAAAACUAAGGCUGUAUGAAAAGGCCCUAUGGGAGCCCAACACUUUGCAUGCUAGUUAUACAUACAUACAUACAUACAUACAUACAUACAUACAUACAUACAGUCUAUGUACAGAGCUACUCUCAAGGGACAUUGCCCUUUAAAUGUAAAUUUCUUUACAAGGCAUAGGUCGCCUCUCUUUUGAUGUAUUGCUCAAGGAGGUCCCCAAAACAUUCCAGGUUAUUCGCACUGCUCUUGGUUGCCUGCCACAACUAGAUAGUGGUUGUGGGACUUUGAGAAAUCAGUUGGAACUGAUCAGGACAUUCCCUCCUGACUGGCUGGUUUGCACAGUGAUGGGAGGUUCUAUGCAAGCUUUUGCAGUGGAGAAGAAGUGUCAUCAAUGGUCUUACCUACUUCUGUGACUGGUCAAGUAAGAUUUAUCCCACAUGCAAUUUUGGCACGAGGGUUAUGAGACUAACCAACCACUUUCUCAUAUGAUUUAAGGUGUGCUCCUCUGAAGAUAAGGAUGGGAUAUGGUGGGGUUUCUUUUAUAAAAUUUAUUGUAAUAUGCAUUACUUUUUCAUAUUUUUUAAAACUUUGUUACUUUAAUUUCUAUUUUCUUUGGAAAACGCUAUUUUCGUAUAUGUUUCUAAACUUCUUUUUAUAAUUUAUAACUAUAAAUAUUAAAAGUAUUCAGUAACCCUUGCUAAGGCAUGCUUGGCUUACUCAAGACCUUCAAAAUAACCAAAAGAAGCAAGGCAUGGCAGUACAUGCAUUUCACUCCAGUAGAGGCAGAUGGGUCUCUAUUAGUCUGAGGCCAGCCUUAUCUACACACCACAUCCAGGUCAGUCAAGCUGCGUGAUGAGAGUCUGUCUCAACAACAAAAACAGCAAUGACAGUGACAAUGGAGACAUUAGGCUCUGACCUCAGCAGCAACUGUGAAUUAAAGCUUCAAAGAUGUGUGGGGCCCAAUGGAUAGAGAAUUACUAAGAAGAAACUUAUGGGAUAAAGAGAAUUCCAUGGGAUUAUUAUUAUUAUUUAUUAUUAUUAAUUAUUGGGGACUCUCAGAUAUAACUUAAUCAUGCUUUCCUCUCAGUCUUGUCCUCUUCUAUGCCCUUUAAUCCCCACCAUUCCCGCCACAAAAAAUAAAAAUCCAAGUCCGUUUUGUAUUGUCCAGAUACUCACUGGAGCUUGGUCAAAUUCCUAGUAGCCACCCCAUUUUCUCUACCUGAAGCUAGACAGAAGCCAUCAACUGAGGAGAACCCCCCAUGCCAAACCCCACCCACCCCCGUUAGUUAGGUUUGACAGGGGCGGGCCAGCUCACCCGCAUCUCACAGGAUUCUUACUGAGAACAUGGCAGGAUAGUCAAGCAACACUUGGGAUUUGGGAGAUGAUGGAGAUCCUGUGUAAAUAUGGAGCAUGAUCCAGUUCUGGCUCAUCUGGCAGAAUUCUGCUAAAACAGAAUUUUACAAGGAUAUGCAUAGAUAGGGACAUGAGAUUCAGAAUCCUGGCUGAUUUUGACCCAAUAAAGUGUCAUUGAGUAUCUUAGCAAUAUUAGCCAAAUUGGGAUGGAAAAUCAAAACGUAAGUGUUCUAAUACAUUUUACAAAACAUAAAUCUUUUUUCUAUCUAUCUUUGUGGCACUGUCUAUCUUUUGGAAGAUAAUGACACAGCAGACUUAUCAUUCUUUUAGCUAUAAUGCUGUAGGACUAUAAUGAGAGUUAAAGCUUUCACAUUUCUUUUUAUUACUAACUAAUUGAUUAAUUAAUUUUACAUUCUGACCAUGAUUUCCCCCCUUCUCCUCCCAGUCCCUCCUCUUAGCCUCUUCCUUCUCCUCCAUUUGUCUUAAGAGAAGAUCAGGCCUCCUUUGGAUAUCAACGAGCCAUGACAUAUCAAACUAGUCACCACAUCUCCUGUUGAUGCUAAUGAAGCAACCCAAUAGGAGGGAAUGGUCUCAAAUGCAGGCCACACAGAAACAGCCCCUGUACCCACUUUUAGGAGUCCCAUAAUAAGACCAAGCUACACAACUAUAACAUGUAUUAAUAUAGCAGAAUAUCAUUAAUAACCAUUUCACUGACAUUUUUUCUUCUACUGUUUGUUUUUAGUUCUAUCCUAAGUCUGGGCUAUAAAACCUUUGGUUUCUGGUCCUCCAAGCAGUUUUAGUAAUGGGGUCUCUUUCAUGACAUAGGUCUCAAGCUGGACAAGUCACUGGUUGGCUACCCCUACAAUUUCUGCAACAUCCUCACCCCAACAUAUCUUGUAGGGAGGACAAAUUGUAGGUCAAAGGUUUGGUGACUGGAUUGUUGUUGUCCCCAUUGCUCUACUUGAAGUUCUGCUUGCUUACAGGAGAAGGAUGGUUCAAGCUCCAUAUCCCUCCUUGUCAAGAUUCUUAGCUUGGGUCACCAUCAUAGAUUCCUGGGAGUUUCCAUUGCACUAGGUUCUAGCUCCUCCCAGAGAUGCUCCAUGGUUCCAAUAUUCAAGCUGUCUAUCCUAGUAUUCUCCCCUUUUGUCCUUUCUGCACCUGAUCCCUCCUGUUCCCAUCCAGACCCCAUUCCCCAUUCACUGGCCGUGUCUAUUCUAUUUCCCCUUCACAGUGAGAUUCAUGUGUCCCUUCUUGAGCCUUGUUACCUAGCUUCUGUUAGUCUGUGGAUUAUAGCAUGGUUGUCUUUUACUUUAUGGCUAAAAUCAACUUGUGUGUUGUCUUUCUGGGUCUGAAUUUCCUCAGGAUGAUCUUUUCUCAUUCCAUCCCUUUGCUAGCAAAUCUCACGAUGUCAUUGUUUUUAACAGCUGAAUAAUACUUUAUUGUGUAAAUGUACCAUUUUUUCUUUAUCCAUUUUUCAGUUUAGAGAUAUCUAGGCUUUUUUCUAGUUUCUGAUCAUUACUAAUAAAGCUCCUCUGAAUAUAGUUGAGCAAGUGUCCUUUAUGGUGAAGUGUCCUUUAACCCUUCACAUUUCUUGACAUUACAUUCCUUUAGAAAUUGUAGACAUUAAUAUAAAACUCAGGUCCAGCUUCAAAAAGGAUAAAGAUAGUUUAUUCUAAGCCACAUACAAGUGACCAUGGCCCCAGGACAGCCUGAGUUAUUUCAAAUGACAUAUUCUGCUAUCAAUGUGAUUAUCAACUUAUAUAACAAACAACAGUCAUAAAUCAAUGUAUCUACCGGACACGUUGGCGAAGGCUACCCAUACAUAGGUGGCUACAACAAUGUGGGAAAAUCUCUACUGUAGUUCUCAGGUCCCUUCUAAUAACUUUUAGCUUUCAGGAUUGUGGAAGCUAGUUGGUUAGCUAACAUAUUAAUGUAGCCAAAAGGCGUGCAAAUAAAAGGGAUCUUAGAUUAGAAGCAAAGUUUGAUGAUAAAUGGGUAUUAAAGGUGCUAAAGAAAACACAAGAUAAAACAUUUCUGUUUCCCACAAUCAGGAACUUCUAAUCAGUUUGUGGAAUAUUCUAGGUGGCUGCUGCAUUUUUUUUUUCAGGAGACUUAAGGUCAGACUUAAAAUUCUUACUUUCUCUUUAUAAAAUUGAACUAAAUAUUUUUCCUUACAGUAAAAAAUAAUAGGCAUCCAUUGAAUUUAGAAGUAGAUUAGCUUUAAUAUAUUUUCCAGCUAUUAAACAUUUUAGACCUUGUUGCUAUUCUUCAAACAUGAAUAUAUUUAAAUGUCAUUGAGAAAGAGAUUUACUGGUUUGUUAUAAAAGAAAGAAAUUUCUCAAUAUCUAAAGACUAUUAAGCUUUUGUAAUAAAAUAAAUGAAAGAAACUCUUUUUGACAUUUUUAUGUUAGAAGUCUACUUAUGAGUUAAUCAGAAUUAAUUGGAUUAAAAGGUCUACAUUUGCUGUAAAGAAAAUAAAAAAGAUGAAACAAUGUUAGUUUACAUCUAUACCAUUGUAAUAGAGCUGAACAAACACUACAGUUUCUUACAUUACCACGAAUUUGACCUCACUUUGUCUAAAAACAAGACAAGUAUUUUUAAAAACUUGGUUUCAAAUUCAUGUAAUUGCUGUUGAGCAUUUUUUUUUUUUGCGUGUGAAAAAUUCGGCAGUACAGAACUUGUAGAUAAAGACCCCAUAAAUAUAUAAAUAAAGUGGGUAUUAUGAGGGAUAGUAUUGCUCAAUAAACAUAGCGUUAAUGGUUUUAGGAGGGAAAGAUCACAUCUCAUUUGUCAAUCAAAAGAGCUUCAGGAAAGAGAACAGGUGGGAUUUCAGCCUGGUAAAGAUUAGCCUCUGUGCAAGGCCACCCCAGGCAGUUGGUACUAGGAGCUGUGGUCCAGGCACAAAAGGGUUAUGUGGACAAAAAAGCCUGUCAACGAGUCCUUCUGCUUACCUGGAUCUUCACAGCACACCUGAAGGAAAAACCAAGUGAGAUAAGCAGAAACACUGAAACAACGGAAACCAUAGAGGGUAUUUCUCAUCACUAUCAGAUGACAUACUUAACAUACAGAAGGUCUCGUGGCUAAAUGGGGUCUGUUUCCAUACUGUCCCUGUACAGCUGAGGCAGGAAACAAGCUUGUCCUAACCACAGUCCAAGGCAUUACUUCCCAGGGGAGUAAAUUAAGUUCUCUGAGAACAGAAUUCACAGAGCAGAAUUGUGUAUGUUAUAUGCAGCUUACUUCUUAUUUUGACCCUGAUCACUGGACUUUAAGCUCAGUGUUUUACAAAGUUUGGGCUCUGUGGCUGAAUCUUAGUUGCUUCAUCAACUAGAUGGUCAUAAUGGUAGGAUUUUUACAGGACUGUUGUGAGAAUAUAAUGCAAAUAUCAAUGAGAGGGGUUCCACAUAGACUCUGACAGUUUAGUGUCCUGAUUAAAUUUUAUUAUCUUCUUUAUUAGUAGGACCACUGCUACUAUCAGCCCAACCUAUUCUCAACUAAUGUUUCAGAGGAAAAGUAGCAAUAGCAAGAAUGUUAAAGGAUUUAAUUGAACCAGAGAAGAAAUGAAUGAUGUGCAGGAACAGAAAGGAAAUACAUUGAAUCAUGCUGAAUCAUGAAAAUCUGCAUCUUAUUCUUCAUCAUAUUUAGUAUUCUUAAUAGAAAUCCAGGUAGAUGGCUCAUCUAGUAAAAGUGCCAGCCACACAACUUCACCAACUUGGGUCAGAGCACUAGAAACCCUGGAAAAAGCUCAAAGCAAGAUGUGAAGCAAAGACAGAAACCUCACAUAGAGCUUACAAUGAAGUACACAGUAAACAAAUGAAAUAGGAGAGAUCCAACCUCAAUAAAUUGAUGGCAAAAAUCAAUGGCCAAGUCUGAUCUCCACAGGCACCAGUACUCAGAAGCACACUAUGUACUCUCACCAUACUCACCAUGCACCCCGAGUAUUUAAGAGAAACUAUGUAGCAUAAUAAUGAGUCUGUCUCAUUAUCCAAAUUAUUCUAACCCUAUUGUUUUUCCAUUUCUUUCCUGCUGUGGCCUUAAAACUCAAGAAAUACAGUAUAUAACGGUUGUGAAAGAGUAAGUUUGUAGGAUUAGAAUACAUCAUCUCUCAGAGUCAGUGAUGGCAUAAAUUAAAUACCAGAAGCCUGUUCACUGAAACCUGUUAAAUGGUAUGAGUCCAAUGCUACAGAAGACAGAGCAGGCCCUGGCCUAGGAAUGGCAGAAAAUGGAAGAGUUGGUUUUUCUUAGAAGUUUCAGAGACCAAAGUAAGGGUAUUUGGAUUGAAAUAUCUGUUUAUUGACAUAAACUGGCUUAGCUAAUAAAAGGACACUGGAGAAGAACAUACACAACCCUUAAAAUAGAUGUAGCAAUGAAAAAUGAUAACAGGACACAGAAUGGAGCUUAGAGCUAGUAAGGAUGAAGGGAAACCCCUAAAACAUCUAUAUGUCUUAUGGCCAUGUUAACAACAGAGAUCAGAUAUGUAACGUCAACAACCACAAAACCUGCCUUCUAAAUAUUUCCACCAUGUGCAAGCCUUUCACACUAAAUGCUAUCAGAAAAGGCAACACUGCAAAACAAAUCAAUAGUCUCAUGACAACAACUCCAUGUCUACUUUCCAUAUUAACAGGUCUGUAUUGCUGCCAAAUGGUAACACAGGCAUGUUGACUGCAUAUUAAUAAAUGCUUGUCAGCUUUUAUGUCCCUUUAAUUUUCUCACCAUUAUGUUAUCUUUGUUAGCUUGUUUGGUGUCAUUUAAAAGAAUGUAUUUUGCUAUCAAUGGCAGAAAAAGUUUAGAAAACUGAUCAGGGCAAGAAAUGUGUUAAAUCUAUGGAUUUGCGUAGGUUAUUGACUCAGGUUAGUUUAAUAACUUGGUUUUGCAAACUUGAAUAAUUCAAAUGCGUUAGAAAUGAUACAGCAUUUAGAAAGUUCAUUCUUAAAAUGGUAAACACUGGAUCCAGGGCCCGAGUUUGUAGUUAUUACUUAUUUAAAAUAAACAAGCAAAUUCCAUUGAGAUAUGGUCUCAUUUUCAGGAAUGGUCUAUUAGCAGGCAGCAGUGAGCACAACCAUUAACCAUAUCAGCACAUUAAAGCCUAAUGUGUAAACUCAACAUAGCAGCAAACACACAUCCUACCAUGGCCUAUUAAGUAAUCAGAAAUGAUUGCAGAUAAUUAGCUCGUGAACAGCUGCAUGAACCCAACUAUUCCAUUUUUUAUCAGACAUGGAGCCUUCAAGUGGGAAGGAGAGUUAUUAGCCGUGUCUUGAACUUGGUGGGAGUGUCAUUAUGAGACAAUAUUGUGGACAGAGUCUAGUGUUUGAUUUCACAUUGCCAAUUAAGACUUCCUUGAGAUUAUCUGUAACUAUAGAUUUUCAAUUGAAAUUAUUGAAAUAAACGUAUUUUCUAUGACUAAAAAACAUCAUAAAAUUAAAAAUUAAAACCAGAACAAUGAGCAGGGAUGAAAUAGUAAUGUUUCUUUCCUAUGAUAUGUGUGUUUCAGUCAUACUUUUUAUUUUAAAUUUAUUUAAAUUUAAAUGGUUUGUACAUUCUCUGGCUAUCUCCCUUAAUGACCUUAUUAAUGCUCCAAGGGUGUGUGUGUAUGUAGUGUGUGUGUGUAACAUAUUUUUACUUAAAAUUUCUCUUUUCUACCUUAUUUUCACUUAUGAAAAUAUUCUAAUAAAAGCAAUACAACUAUAUUGAAACAGUUGAAAUGCAUAUAUAGAAAAAGAAAGUAUUGUAGUUAUUCAGAAAAACAGAAGUGAAAGACACAAAUGUAUUUCUUCUAUUAUUUUAGAUUGAACUUAGACAAGGCCUCAUGCAUGCUUGGCAAAUACUAUGCCACUUAGCUAACCUCCCUCUAUAUUUUAUUUGAGACAAAUAUAUCAUUUAGUUGUCCAUAUUGACCUUCAAUUUAUGAUCCUAUUUCUUUCCUUUCUUAAUAGGUUGGAUAGCUGGGAUGGUGUCACCUGGCUCAACCAAGUUAUCACUCUUAAAACUGAAAUGGGUACACUGUGAUAUCAUCAAAGAUUCCACAUUAAUCCUAUGGCUAUGAGACUCAAGUGUGUGACGACUCCACCUAAUUGAAGCACUCUGGAGAUAAUCAGCAUGCCAGCAUCACACCACUACAUGCUCUGAAAUUAUGCAAAAGCAUUAGAGUCCUCAUCACCCAGAGUUCCUAUCUUUCCCAUUUCUAAAGACAGGUUCAUCAUUUGCUCUGUUGCUAGAACUACAUCUAAUUGCUUUCAAGAUGAAAACUACAAGGCACGUGCCAUUUUACAAAGGUAAAUAUAUACUAAACACAUCUCCAUUUUAAUUAUGCACCUAUAGGAAAUAUAAUCUAUCGAUAUACAAAGUAAACUAUUCUAAAAGGAAUAGAUUGAAACUUUUUUGUUUAAUUUCAAAAAUAGCUUUUCUGAUGUAUUGUUUAAUCAUUCCUAAAAGGCUUCAAGUUUUAUUCAUCUAAGUGAAUGGCCUUGGUGCUUAUACCUUAGAGAUUGAAUGAAAUUUUCUUAUACCUCAAGAGACUUCAGUAAUCGAUUCAAUAACAUCUGUGUUUGACACCAUGGAUCAAACAGUGUAAUAUAAACAGAAGACUAUAACACAAACAUAAUACGCACCCGAUGAGAUCACAUACAGGUCUUUUGCACUUUUUUGACUUAUUUUUCAAAGAGUGCCAGUGAACCUAAAGAUGAAUAGCUGAUACAAAGCUUAGUUUUUGCAGUCUGUUUUAAAGACACCAGUAUUCUCAAAUUUAUUAGACUUCAGAAGAUUAAAAAAAAAAAAAAGAAAGAAAGAAAGAAA